UACAGAGGUCUCAAGCGUUGUUCGGAUUCAUUGGGCGUAAAGGGUGCGUAGGCGGCGCGGUAAGUCGGGUGUGAAAUCUUGGAGCUUAACUCCGAAACUGCAUUCGAUACUGCCGUGCUUGAGGACUGGAGAGGAGACUGGAAUUUACGGUGUAGCGGUGAAAUGCGUAGAUAUCGUAAGGAAGACCAGUGGCGAAGGCGGGUCUCUGGACAGUUACUGACGCUGAUGCACGAAGGCCAGGGGAGCAAACGGG
rnacentral:rRNA from 1 species